AGAAACAAAAAAAUCGAGGAAUUAACUCAGUCUCAGUAUGGAGAUAUGGAUAAGUUUGUUAUAAAAAAAGCACAAGUGUCCUCCAAUAAUCAAUCACUUGAUCAAGGGCAUGCACGUGACAAUAAUGUUGAAAAUGAUCCUAGCCCUAGAGAUGGCCCGACAGAGACAGAAAAUAAUGUUGCAGGUGAAGAAAAUAAUGAUAACAUCGAGGCUACUAAUGUUGAUGGCAACUUGAAUACUUCACCUAGUGCAGAUGUUGGUGAUUCUUUUCAUCUUGAUAUAUUUGAUCCAAGAAAUUGGGAUUCUCUUGAUUCUAAGCAAAUUGACAUUUUAGCAGAAAAGGGCCCUCAAAGGGACACAUCUUUUAAGAAAGGUCGUAAGGAUAAAUAUAAAAGGAGGUUUUCUGCACUAUUCUACACUAGAAUUCUAUCAAAUGGAGAGCACUGCGAUAGGGAUUGGCUUGUCUAUUCUGAGGAAUUAGAUAAAGUAUUUUGCUUCGGUUGUAAAUUAUUUGCAAAAGGGCAUCGAAAAGGUAAUUUGGCAAAUGAGGGGUACAAUGAUUGGACACAUCUUGGCACUAGACUUAAAGAGCAUGAGACAAGUGCAGAUCAUGUUUUGAAUAUGACCGUUUGGUAUGAGUUGCGUAGUAGAUUGCAAACACAUCAAACUAUUGAUAAAUCUGCGCAACGACAACUUGAGAGUGAAAAGGACCACUGGAGAAAAGUUUUGUUCAGAAUUGUUUGCAUUGUAAAAUUUCUUUCUAAGCAUAAUCUAGCAUUUCAUGGUACCAAUAGCAAAUUGUAUGAAGAUAGCAAUGGAAAUUUCUUGGGUUUGAUUGAGAUGUUUGCUGAAUUUGACCCGGUUAUUGAAGAGCAUGUUCGUCGUAUUACAAAUGAAGAAACUCAUGCACAUUAUCUUGAUCAUAAGAUUCAAAAUGAGUUGAUACAUUUGCUUACUUCUGCUAUUAAGUUUGAGAUUGUUAAGAAAAUAAAGAGUGCAAAGUAUUUCUCUGUCAUACUUGAUUGUACCCCUGAUGCAAGCCAUCAAGAACAAAUGUCUAUAAUCAUAAGAUAUGUGGAUUCAUCUUCAAGUCAUGUUUGCAUAGAAGAAUCAUUUUUAGGAUUUUUAGAUGUAAAUGAUACGACUGGGCAAGGACUGUUUGAAGUGCUAUAGAAUGAACUAAAGCUUCUUGAUCUUGAUAUAGAUGAUGUUAGAGGACAAGGUUAUGAUAACGGGUCAAAUAUGAAAGGAACACAUCAUGGAGUCUAGAGGAGACUUCUGAAUAUUAAUCCUAGAGCUUUCUAUUCUGCUUGUGGUUGUCAUAGCCUUAAUUUGACACUUUGUGAUAUGGCCAAGACUUGUGCUAAAGCUAAAGACUUCUUCAGAAUUAUCCAACGCAUAUAUACAAUUUUUGCUAAUUCUACUAAGAAGUGGCAUAUUCUGAAGGAGAACAUCAUAGGAUUAACUCCCAAGUCAGUGUCAGCUACACGUUGGGAGAGUCGUGUUGACAGUGUUAAAGCUAUUCGACUUCAAUGUGCAGACAUUCGGGAGGCCCUACUUCAGGUGGCUGAGACUGAUAAUGACAUAAAAACAAGUAGUGAGGCUAAAGGCUUGGCAAAUAAUGAACUUGGAGAGUAUGAAUUUAUAGUGGCAAUAGUAAUUUGGUAUGAGGUAUUGUAUGAUGUUAAUUUAGUAAGCAAACACUUGCAAGCAAAGGAUAUGCUUAUUGAUGUUGCUAUUGAGAAAGUGCAAGAACUGAUUACUUUCUUCAAGGGGUAUCGGGAAACUGGUUUUGUAGAAGCAUUGGAGAUGGCCAAAGGAAUUGCACUUGAGAUGGAUAUUGGUACAACAUUUCGUAAAAGACGGGAAAUUAAAACAAAGAGACAUUUUGAUGAGAACCCAGAUGACACAAAUGUUGCCACACAGUCUACAGAGGAAUCAUUCAGAGUCCACUAUUUUGUACGUAUUGUUGAUCAAGCAAUUAGCUCACUUACAACCAGAUUUGAACAAUACCAAGGUUACCAGAAAAUAUUUGGUUUCCUAUUUACCUCUGAAACAUUGCAGUCCUUGGAUAAGAAGAGCUUGAAAACUUUUUGUGAUAAUCUUGAGGUUGCUCUUAGAAAGGAUGGAAAAUCUGACAUUGAUGCCAGUGAACUGUAUGUGGAGUUGAUGUUUCUUCAAAAUUUCAUGCCAAAAGAAAAUAUUGGGCCAGUUGAAAUUUUAAAGUUCUUAAAGCGGCAUGAUUGUUUUCCCAAUGCAAGUAUUACCUAUAUAGUUCUUUUGACCAUCCCUGUGACUGUUGCAUCAGCAGAACGGAGCUUUCCAAAAUUGAAGCUAUUGAAGUCUUAUAUGCGCACUACCAUGACACAACAAAGACUUACUGAUUUGGCCACAAUAGCACUUGAGAGUGAAGUCUUGGAGAAGAUUGAUUACGAGGAUAUUAUUGAAGAUUUUAUUUCAAGAAACACUAAAAGAAUGAUGUUAUUUAAGUGA
rnacentral:rRNA from 1 species